GACGAACGCUGGCGGCGUGCCUAACACAUGCAAGUCGAACGGAGUAGAACGCUGAAUUGAUGGUAGCUUGCUACUGGAUUUUCUUGUUCUACUUAGUGGCGGACGGGUGAGUAACGCGUGAGCAACCUGCCUUACAGAGGGGGACAACAGUUGGAAACGACUGCUAAUACCGCAUAACGUGCCGAGGGGGCAUCCCCAUGGUACCAAAGGAGCAAUCCGCUGUAAGAUGGGCUCGCGUCCGAUUAGAUAGUUGGUGGGGUAACGGCCUACCAAGUCUGCGAUCGGUAGCCGGACUGAGAGGUUGAUCGGCCACAUUGGGACUGAGACACGGCCCAGACUCCUACGGGAGGCAGCAGUGGGGGAUAUUGCACAAUGGAGGAAACUCUGAUGCAGCAACGCCGCGUGAGGGAAGAAGGUUUUCGGAUUGUAAACCUCUGUUUUUAGUGAAGAAACAAAUGACGGUAGCUAAAGAGGAAGCCACGGCUAACUACGUGCCAGCCGCCGCCGUAACAC
rnacentral:rRNA from 1 species